AGUAACGCGUGAGAAUCUAACUUCAGGACGGGGACAACAGUUGGAAACGACUGCUAAUACCCGAUGUGCCGAAAGGUGAAACCUAAUUGGCCUGAAGAAGAGCUUGCGUCUGAUUAGCUAGUUGGUGGGGUAAAGGCCUACCAAGGCGACGAUCAGUAGCUGGUCUGAGAGGAUGAGCAGCCACACUGGGACUGAGACACGGCCCAGACUCCUACGGGAGGCAGCAGUGGGGAAUUUUCCGCAAUGGGCGAAAGCCUGACGGAGCAACGCCGCGUGAGGGAGGAAGGUCUUUGGAUUGUAAACCUCUUUUCUCAAGGAAGAAGUUCUGACGGUACUUGAGGAAUCAGCCUCGGCUAACUCCGUGCCAGCAGCCGCGGUAAUACGGGGGAGGCAAGCGUUAUCCGGAAUUAUUGGGCGUAAAGCGUCCGCAGGUGGUCAGCCAAGUCUGCCGUCAAAUCAGGUUGCUUAACGACCUAAAGGCGGUGGAAACUGGCAGACUAGAGAGCAGUAGGGGUAGCAGGAAUUCCCAGUGUAGCGGUGAAAUGCGUAGAGAUUGGGAAGAACAUCGGUGGCGAAAGCGUGCUACUGGGCUGUAUCUGACACUCAGGGACGAAAGCUAGGGGAGCGAAAGGGAUUAAAUA
rnacentral:rRNA from 1 species